rnacentral:rRNA from 1 species
UACGUAGGGGGCAAGCGUUGUUCGGAAUUACUGGGCGUAAAGGGCGCGUAGGCGGCACGGCAAGUCAGGAGUGAAAGGCCUGGGCUCAACCGAGGAACUGCUUUUGAGACUGCCGAGCUAGAGUGCAGAAGGGGCAACUGGAAUUCCCAGUGUAGCGGUGAAAUGCGUAGAUAUUGGGAAGAACACCCGUGGCGAAGGCGGUUCUCUGGGACGGUACUGACGCUGAGACGCGAAAGCGUGGGGAGCGAACAGG